ACAGCAAAAGCAAACUAGUGGGAACUCACGAACUUUAGACCAACAGCUGUGGAGCCCUCAUGGGACUGGACGAGGCCCUCUGCAGAGAUUUUUCAGGUGAGAGUGUCUGAUCAGAAAGCCUGCCUUAUAUUCCAGAAACUGAGCUAAAAAGGUUCUAGUGUACCACAGAUGUGUCUCAAACUUCCUUUGUGGCCAGAGAUGGCCUUGGGCUCUUGCUCCCCCUGUGAGCACCUUUCUAAGGAUGGGAUCACAGCUCUGUGCCAUCAUGACCAGGUUCUCAAAAAUGUCAAGUUCAAGAGAAGACCAAUGAAAAGCUACAAAAGCCAUUAUUGGAUCAGUUAGUAAGAUUUGAUUAUAGACCAUGAAUUAAAUAAUGAUAUUAAAUCAAA